rnacentral:rRNA from 1 species
GCCGUAGCGAAAGCGAGUCUGAAUAGGGCGUUUAGUAUUUGGUCGUAGACCCGAAACCAGGUGAUCUACCCUUGGUCAGGUUGAAGUUCAGGUAACACUGAAUGGAGGACCGAACCGACUUACGUUGAAAAGUGAGCGGAUGAACUGAGGGUAGCGGAGAAAUUCCAAUCGAACCUGGAGAUAGCUGGUUCUCUCCGAAAUAGCUUUAGGGCUAGCCUCAAGUGAUGAUUAUUGGAGGUAGAGCACUGUUUGGACGAGGGGCCCCUCUCGGGUUACCGAAUUCAGACAAACUCCGAAUGCCAAUUAAUUUAACUUGGGAGUCAGAACAUGGGUGAUAAGGUCCGUGUUCGAAAGGGAAACAGCCCAGACCACCAGCUAAGGUCCCAAAAUAUAUGUUAAGUGGAAAAGGAUGUGGCGUUGCCCAGACAACUAGGAUGUUGGCUUAGAAGCAGCCAUCAUUUAAAGAGUGCGUAAUAGCUCACUAGUCGAGUGACACUGCGCCGAAAAUGUACCGGGGCUAAACAUAUUACCGAAGCUGUGGAUUGUCCUUUGGACAAUGGUAGGAGAGCGUUCUAAGGGCGUUGAAGCAUGAUCGUAAGGACAUGUGGAGCGCUUAGAAGUGAGAAUGCCGGUGUGAGUAGCGAAAGACGGGUGAGAAUCCCGUCCACCGAUUGACUAAGGUUUCCAGAGGAAGGCUCGUCCGCUCUGGGUUAGUCGGGUCCUAAGCUGAGGCCGACAGGCGUAGGCGAUGGAUAACAGGUUGAUAUUCCUGUACCACCUAUA